rnacentral:rRNA from 1 species
UACAGAGGUCCCGAGCGUUGUUCGGAUUCAUUGGGCGUAAAGGGUGCGUAGGUGGCAUGGUAAGUUGAAGGUGAAAUCUCGGAGCUCAACUCCGAAACUGCCUUCAAUACUGCUGUGCUUGAGGACUGUAGAGGAGAAUGGAAUUCACGGUGUAGCAGUGAAAUGCGUAGAUAUCGUGAGGAAGACCAGUGGCGAAGGCGAUUCUCUGGGCAGUUCCUGACACUGAGGCACGAAGGCUAGGGGAGCAAACGGG